rnacentral:rRNA from 1 species
GAUGAACGCUGGCGGCGUGCUUAACACAUGCAAGUCGAACGAAGCAUUUAGGACAGAUUACUUCGGUUUGAAGUUCUUUAUGACUGAGUGGCGGACGGGUGAGUAACGCGUGGGUAACCUGCCUUGUACUGGGGGAUAGCAGCUGGAAACGGCUGGUAAUACCGCAUAAGCGCACAAUGUUGCAUGACAUGGUGUGAAAAACUCCGGUGGUAUAAGAUGGACCCGCGUCUGAUUAGCUAGUUGGUGAGAUAAAAGCCCACCAAGGCGACGAUCAGUAGCCGACAUGAGAGGGUGACCGGCCACAUUGGGACUGAGACACGGCCGAGACUCCUACGGGAGGCAGCAGUGGUGAAUAUUGCAAAAUGGAGGAAACUCUGAUGCAGCGACGCCGCGUGAGUGAAGAAGUAAUUCGUUAUGUAAAGCUCUAUCAGCAGGGAAGAUAGUGACGGUACCUGACUAAGAAGCUACGGCUAAAUACGUG